rnacentral:rRNA from 1 species
AUUGAACGCUGGCGGCAGGCUUAACACAUGCAAGUCGAGCGAGCGGCGGACGGGUGAGUAAUGUCUGGGAAACUGCCUGCUGGCGGGGGAUAACUACUGGAAACGGUAGCUAAUACCGCAUACCAUCAGAUGUGCCCAGAUGGGAUUAGCUAGUAGGUGGGGGAAAGGCUCACGUAGGCGACGAUCCCUAGCUGGUCUGAGAGGAUGACGGGCCACACUGGAACUGGGAACCGGGCCAGACUCCUGCGGGAGGCGGGAGUGGGGAAUAUUGCACAAUGGGCGAAAGCCUGAUGCAGCCAGGCCGCGUGUAUGAAGAAGGCCUUCGGGUUGUAAAGUACUUUCAGCGGGGAGGCGUUACCCGCAGAAGAAGCACCGGCUAACUCCGUGCCAGCAGCCGCGGUAAUUC